AAUAGGUUUAUGUAAGACGAUUUGAUUAUUUAUUAUUUUAUGUGAGCCAGUGCAAAGGUUUAUAAAUUUGAAGAAACAUUAAUCAAAUAAUUAUUAAUCGAAAAAAAAAUCUACUUUCAUGUCAAAGACAAUAAUAUGUGAUUCAUUGAAGGAACCUCAAAUGACAACUGCAUUAAAACAAGAUUGCAAAGGCCAAUUUUAUUUUUCCA
rnacentral:lncRNA from 1 species